AUUGAACGCUAGCGGCAUGCCUUACACAUGCAAGUCGAACGGAGUGGCGAACGGGUGAGUAAUGUAUCGGAACGUGCCCAGUAGCGGGGGAUAACUACGCGAUAGCGUACCUAAUACCGCAUACUAUUGGAGCGGCCGCUAUGGGGUUAGCUAGUUGGUGGGGUAACGGCUCACCAAGGCGACGACCCGUAGCUGGUUUGAGAGGACGACCAGCCACCCUGGGACUGAGACACGGCCCAGACUCCUACGGGAGGCAGCAGUGGGGAAUGUUGGACAAUGGGGGAAACCCUGAUCCAGCCAUCCCGCGUGUGCGAUGAAGGCCUGCGGGUUGUAAAGGACUUUUGGUAGGAAAGCGGUACCUGAAGAAUAAGCACCGGCUAACUACGUGCCAGCAGCCGCGGUAAUUC
rnacentral:rRNA from 1 species